GCCAGACUCCUACGGGAGGCAGCAGUGGGGGAUAUUGCACAAUGGGGGAAACCCUGAUGCAGCAACGCCGCGUGAGUGAAGAAGUAUUUCGGUAUGUAAAGCUCUAUCAGCAGGGAAGAGAAUGACGGUACCUGACUAAGAAGCCCCGGCUAACUACGUGCCAGCAGCCGCGGUAAUACGUAGGGGGCGAGCGUUAUCCGGAUUUACUGGGUGUAAAGGGAGCGUAGACGGCUGGUCAAGUCUGAAGUGAAAGCCCGGGGCUUAACCCCGGAACGGCUUUGGAAACUGAGCAGCUAGAGUGCUGGAGAGGUAAGCGGAAUUCCUAGUGUAGCGGUGAAAUGCGUAGAUAUUAGGAGGAACACCAGUGGCGAAGGCGGCUUACUGGACAGUAACUGACGUUGAGGCUCGAAAGCGUGGGGAGCAAACAGGAUUAGAUACCCGAGUA
rnacentral:rRNA from 1 species